rnacentral:lncRNA from 1 species
AAGAAAUUUAGGGACCAACCAAAAAUAUACUCAUAUCAGACACUAAAAUAUGAAUGAAAACCAAUAUUUUAACAACAACAAAUUGAAUAAAACUUAAAACAUAAUAAAAUGUGUUUCAGAAAAUACACUCAGAAUGGAAACAAUGAUUUUAUCAAACAACAACUUCAACAUCCAUGAUACUACUGAACAAAAAAAAAAUACAAACCAAAACACAACCAUGCAUAAAAUAAAAACACAAAAAAUCAAAAACAACUAAAAAAUAUAAUUCUUAAAAAAAAAAUUAACAAACCUUCAAAUGUUUCUGCCGUGGAACCAUUUUUCGACUAUGAGCCUGAACUUUAUCUUCUUUGACAACUUUUUCGGCAUAACCUUCAAAAUCUGAAUCAAUAUUCACCAUAGAUUUCGCCUUCUUCUUCGAUUUCAACAACAACCUCUUACCCUGUUUAGAAGACUUUGAACUACUAUCCUUCACCACUAAAGAUAACUUCGAAUCCUCCAUAUUAAAACCAUCUGGAACUCUUUUCCUCUUCCUAUCAGGAUUCUUAUCCCCCAUUCCCUCCAUGCUCUUCCUCGUA